GUAUAGCAAUAGCUACUUGCAUCAUUGUAGAUAUGAUGUAAGAUCGACUAUGUUGAAUAAAAUUCUAGGUAGAAUUAUGAUAAUGACAUUGUCUGCCUAUGUGUCUUGACCAAAUUACGUGCCAGCAGUCGCGGUAAUACGUAGAAGACUAGUGUUAUUCAUGUUUAAUCGGUUUAAAGGGUACCUAGACGGUAGAUCAAGCUUUCUAAUAAAUGAAAAGGACUAAUUUACUAGAGUUACUUAUGAGGGGGUAUUAAAGUACUGCUGGUGUAGAGAUGAAAUUCUGUCAUACCUCUUUUCAAAAGAAAAACCAUGGCACAGGUAUAGGCGAAGGCAUCCCCUUAUGUGAUAACUGACGUUGAGGGACGAAGGCUUUGUGUAGCGAACAGGAUUAGAUACCCCAGUAGUCGAAGCAGAAAAUGAUGAAUGUCAUAGAUUAGAUGUAUAAGUUUAUUCUAUAAAUGAAAGUGUAAGCAUUCCACCUCAUGAGUAAUUUGGCAACAUUGGAACUGAAAUCAUUAGACCGUUUCUGAAACCAGUAGUGAAGUAUGUUGUUUAAUUUGAUGAUCCGCAAAAAACCUUACCACAAUUUGAAUAUUUAUAUUUUUUUUAUUGUUUUUUUCUUAAGAGAUAAAUAAUUAAAGAAAAAAAUCAAAAAAGGAAGMAAAUUAAGRAAGARAAUUAAGAAAGAGGCAAUAAGAUAUAUUUACAAGCGUUGCACGGCUGUCUUCAGUUAAUGUCGCGAGACUUUGGUUAGUUCCAUUAAAUUAACGUAAACCCUUACUUUAUUUUUAUAUAGAGUAGUUCCCCGCUAUAUUGGAUAUGAUAACAGG
rnacentral:rRNA from 1 species